rnacentral:rRNA from 1 species
GACAGAGGGUGCAAACGUUGCUCGGAAUUACUGGGCGUAAAGCGCGUGUAGGUGGAUUGGUGUGUCAGAUGUGAAAGCCCUGGGCUCAACCCAGGAACUGCACCUGAAACUACCAGUCUUGAGUGGUGGAGAGGGAAGUGGAAUUCCUGGUGUAGAGGUGAAAUUCGUAGAUAUCAGGAGGAACACCAGUGGCGAAGGCGGCUUCCUGGACACUAACUGACGCUGAGGCACGAAGGCCAGGGGAGCAAACGGG